AAUAAAAUGGCUGAGGUUUAGGCGAUAAAUUGUAAAUUUAUUAACGAAAUAGUAAUUUCUUUUAUU
rnacentral:tRNA from 1 species